UCUAAUAUCAGAGCUCACCGGAAACAUGAUUCAACUCCGACGCAUGACGCUUUGCUCCGACUACCGUCUGGCACCGACAAUAGUCAUCAUCUUCCUCAAGUCCUCCGUAGAUUGAUAAUAUCUUCAUCGACAACUAUCAUUUGUAAUCAUUUUACUGUGUUCUUCCAGUCAUAUGAAGGCGAGAUGUUCUCUCAAAUUGUUGGAAGCCCUCAUUACAUGGCCGCAGUAGUGCUUAAGCGCAGUUAUGGACCAGAGAUUGAUAUAUGGAGUGCAUGAGUUAUUCUUCAUAUUUUAUUAUAUUUUAUUAUGUGGCGUUCCUCCA